rnacentral:tRNA from 1 species
ACCGACAUAGCUCAGUUGAGAGAGCGUUAGACUAUAGAUCGAAAAGUCCCUGGUUCGAUCCCGGGUUCCGGCA